rnacentral:rRNA from 1 species
GAGUGUUGGGUUAAGUCCCGCAACGAGCGCAACCCCCGCCGUUAGUUGCCAGCGGUUCGGCCGGGCACUCUAACGGGACUGCCCGCGAAAGCGGGAGGAAGGAGGGGACGACGUCUGGUCAGCAUGGCCCUUACGGCCUGGGCGACACACGUGCUACAAUGCCCACUACAAAGCGAGGCCACCCGGCAACGGGGAGCUAAUCGCAAAAAGGUGGGCCCAGUUCGGAUUGGGGUCUGCAACCCGACCCCAUGAAGCCGGAAUCGCUAGUAAUCGCGGAUCAGCCAUGCCGCGGUGAAUACGUUCCCGGGCCUU